CGCGCAGGCGGCUGUUCAAGUCCGAUGUGAAAUCUUCCGGCUUAACUGGAAAACGGCAUCGGAUACUGGACGGCUGGAAGGUGGGAGAGGGUAGCGGAAUUCCCGGUGUAGUGGUGAAAUGCGUAGAUAUCGGGAGGAACACCAGUGGCGAAAGCGGCUACCUGGCCCACUCUUGACGCUGAGGCGCGAAAGCUAGGGGAGCAAACG
rnacentral:rRNA from 1 species